rnacentral:rRNA from 1 species
UACGACCAGGGCUACACACGUGCUACAAUGGCAUAUACAAAGAGAAGCGACCUCGCGAGAGCAAGCGGACCUCAUAAAGUAUGUCGUAGUCCGGAUUGGAGUCUGCAACUCGACUCCAUGAAGUCGGAAUCGCUAGUAAUCGUAGAUCAGAAUGCUACGGUGAAUACGUUCCCGGGCCUUGUACACACCGCCCGUCACACCAUGGGAGGGGGUUGCAAAAGAAGUAGGUAGCUUAACCUUCGGGAGGGCGCUUACCACUUUGUGAUUCAUGACUGGGGUGAAGUCGUAACAAGGUAACCGUAGGGGAACCUGCGGUUGGAUC